GACGAACGCUGGCGGCGUGCUUAACACAUGCAAGUCGAACGGAAAGGCCCUUCUUUUGUGGGGUGCUCGAGUGGCGAACGGGUGAGUAACACGUGAGUAACCUGCCCUUGACUUUGGGAUAACUUCAGGAAACUGGGGCUAAUACCUGAUAGGAGCUCCUGCUGCAUGGUUGGGGUUGGAAAGUUUCGGCGGUUGGGGAUGGACUCGCGGCUUAUCAGCUUGUUGGUGGGGUAGUGGCUUACCAAGGCUUUGACGGGUAGCCGGCCUGAGAGGGUGACCGGCCACAGUGGGACUGAGAUACGGCCCAGACUCCUACGGGAGGCAGCAGUGGGGAAUAUUGCACAAUGGGCGGAAGCCUGAUGCAGCAACGCCGCGUGCGGGAUGACGGCCUUCGGGUUGUAAACCGCUUUCGCCUGUGACGAAGCGUGAGUGACGGUAAUGGGUAAAGAAGCACCGGCUAACUACGUG
rnacentral:rRNA from 1 species